rnacentral:lncRNA from 1 species
CUCCAGCCUCGUCCUGGCCGGCCCCUCCUCCCUGGCUCCUCCCUGUUGAAAGACGCUCCUAUAAGGGCCAGGCGGAGCCCCGAGCUGUGGCUGAGCCCAGAGGUCAGCACGGUGCAGCUACCCAAGACCAUGCGGCCGCAACACAGGUUCCUCUCGCUCACGGCGACCGCGCUCCUGCUCCUGGCCAUCGUGGUGGCAGAUGAGCCUGCGACCUCCCCCCAUCCCGUGGCCCCGUCAGGCAGCCAGGCGCCAGAGACCCUGGCAAGUGCCGCUGAGCCCCUCAUCUCCGGCAGAUCGGAGGCUUCGGGAGAAAAGGUCACGCACGUGAGCUUUGCGGGGGCAGAUCGCUCCCACACGGACGACGGGAACGGAGAUCUCCUGCUGAACAGUGAUGGCUCUGGCCCCGGUGCCUUCAGCUUUGACCUGCUGCCUGGGGACACACCGAGCGGUCCUGCCGUGGACACGUCUGCUCACUCCCACGAGUCCCAAGAAAGCCUGGACCACGAAGCAGAUUCAGAAGAGUCCCUCGCAUCCCAAGAUAAGUCUCCUGUUAGCUCAGUGCCUUGAACGAGCCGGCCCCACAUUGCUCCUGCUCCCCAGGUGUUUGCUGCUGCCCACCACAACCCCCCUCAGCUGACCCAGGCUCCCCCUUGCUUGACUGCAUUCACGCCCCGUGGCCCCUGGGCCCCUGCAGCGUCCAUCAAAUGCCCAGCAAAAGCUCCCUGGUGUGCCCCAUGGUGCCCCGCACUUUCCAGCUGGGGACUUGGCAUUUUAAAAGAACGUGCCAGGGCCAAGAAGCGCGGCCUCCCACACGGCCUCCUAAAAACCCGGGAAAGCGACGGGCUGCCGGUCCUGGAAACUGCCACGCACCCAACGAUCCCCUCGUGUCGGACGCAGAGAAACCUGGCCGGGCAUGUCAGCUGUGCNUGCACUGUGCAGCUGCUCACGGUGGGCCGCCAGCCCCUUUCCAAAGCAAGUGCUUCUUNCCCCCAACCCUUCCUUCAGCCCCGUGAACUCCUUCCUGGUUCCCAUAAACUGAGACCUUCCCGCCAUGGCCCUCUGCUGGAGAGACCAGCGUGCCUUCUCAAGUGCAGAGGAGCCUCACAGGACGUUGGGUUCCUGGGAAACGACUUAGUUCAAAACGUGCUACCCCCGUGAUCCCAGGGUCUGGGGGCCCCCCAGAGGCCAGGCGCAAGUGUGGCUUUGGCACCAUCCAAGGACGGGCGAGGGAGGCAGCUGCCCCCGUCCGCCUCUGCCCUCCUCGGAUGCACUUAAGGGCUCUUCUGCCAUCAUGCCUGGGUGGGGAAUCUUUGCCCCCUCCUCACCCAGCCAUGCAGUUCUGCAUUUUGAUGGCCAGUGACGCCCUCCUGAAGACGAAGUGCCUCUCCUCCCCGUGACCAAGGAAAGGAAACCUGGCCGGUGUCCCAUCACUAAGGCAAAAACCAUGACACCUGCCUGCGCCUGCACACACACACCUGCCGUCAGUAUGCUCCCCGGGUGAAAAAUGUGGCUCUGUGCCCUAUUUUUAUCCCCACUGUGGCAAUCUCCGGGUAGGGGCACAGGGAGC